UUUAAGUGUAACCAUGAGUUUUCGUGCCUAACUUUGAGAGUCCGUUUUACUUCAAAUUCUUUUAUAAUUAGUAUUUUUGUUGUUAUAAGAUGAUAAAACAUGAAUAAUAUUUUAAUCGUGACUUAUGUUUUUUUUCAAAAAUAUUUUAAAUAAGACGAACGAUUAAAGUUGGGCAUGGAAAACUAUUUCUAUACUUAAA
rfam:Oryza nivara chromosome 3, whole genome shotgun sequence.